CUUCCUCAGCCUUACUCCAGGGGCUUUUGUUUCUGUAGAGUGCCCUGGCAUUGCCUGAGGAUAAACUCAAAGUGUGCUCGUUUCCCUCCCCAGUAAGAUUUU
rnacentral:snoRNA from 1 species